GGGGCUGUCGUCUAGCGGCAGGAUUCCUCGCCUUCAACGAGGCAGACGCCGGUUCGAAUCCGGCCGGCCCUACCA
rnacentral:tRNA from 1 species